rnacentral:lncRNA from 12 species
CUUUAAAAUGCCGGGGCGGCCGCGACUCCGCGCUCAGCCCCUGUCGGCCGCCGGGCCGGGCUCGCCCGCACCUCCGGGGCGCUGACUCAGCCGCAGCCGCCCUCCCCGCCGAGCCGGGCCUGCGCUGCGCCCCGCGCCCCAGCCCCGCCGCCCGGGACCCGCGAGCGCACGGGACGGCCUCUCCCGGCUCUAUAUUUGAAUUGUGGCAUUUGGCAGGACUCUUCUCCAUUUGGAUCUGCUAUACCUGAACCCUAACACUGCAGGCUCUGGUGAGUAUGCUGAGGUAGUCCAGCAGCCAGUCCCCUUGGGGUCAUUCACUGGCCAGAGUCCCUGCCUCUGAAACAGGCUCACCUCCAG